GUAGCGAACUGAAUGGUGAAAAGUGUACUGGCAAUCAAACAACAGCAAAAUAAUCUACUCUAUGCUGAUUACCAUAGACCUUACGCUGAUAACCACUGAUUUAAUGGCUUCAGCUAGUUCAGCAGCAUGACGUAUGAGUUAUUUGUGAAGCAAGAAUUUGUGCGAAACAAUGCUGGUGAAUAAACUCUCAUCUGUGCACACCCUCUAGCGAAAGGAAGGCAUUUUCAUUAAAUUGCAUCUAUAAGAUGUUUCUCAAGCGAAAGAAGCAUGCAAAAUAGCAUAUUCCAGUCCUGCUGUUCGUUAGAUUCGUUUUUGAGACAUGAAUUAUUCUAACGCUAAUUAACAACUGCACGCUACCUAACCGAGGCAUCACUUUUAAAAUUUGAAGAAAAUGACUGCAGUGUUACUCCUGCUUCAGGAGUCUGGUGUGUCUGCUCACAUGAAUGGAAGCGUAGGGAAGUGCCACAUAAUACAGUGUUGAUCUCAUUUCUUGUGCAACAAGUAAUAUCCUGUUUUGGACAGAAUACUCGUGGAAUACUCUUCAUUACUAAUGUGCCUAAGGAUGCCUACAGUGAAUGGUGUCUGAGGCUGAUUUCUCGCAAAACCCACAGUGUAUUAUAAUGAUUGUGGCAUACCUCAUUAAUUGUAUAAAAAGUCAUUUAUCGAUUUGGGAAGAACAUCGCUGCAGUUCUACUGCUGUUUCUGGGGCGCAAGGAUGGCUUGAGAGUUACAGUGCAUGGAAGCUCAUGCUGUCUGCUCGAGUAAUUACAAUGCAUUACAUUGACUGUGUUUUCUUAUUGCUACGUAACAAAUAAUUUAUAAAUUUGGGAAGAAUAUUGCUGCAUUUCUCCACUGUUUUUGGAUCCCGAG